CCUACGGGUGGCUGCAGUAAGGAAUAUUGGACAAUGGCGGAGACGCUGAUCCAGCUAUCCCGCGUGCAGGAUGACGGCCCUACGGGUUGUAAACUGCUUUAGACUGGGGCGAAAAAGUGGGAUUUAUCCUACAUUGACGGUACCAGUAAAAUAAGCACCGGCUAACUCCGUGCCAGCAGCCGCGGUAAUACGGAGGGUGCCGGCGUUACUGGGAAUAACGGGGUAGUAAGCGUGUUGUUAAGUCAGGAGUGAAAGGCCAUGGCUCAACUAUGGGAUUGCUUUUGAUACUGACGAGCUUGGAUUAGGACGAGGUUGGCGGAAUGUGGCAAGUAGCGGUGAAAUGCAUAGAUAUGCCAUAGAAUACCGAUUGCGAAGGCAGCUGACUAGACCUAUAUUGACGCUGAGGCACGAAAGCGUGGGGAGCGAACAGGAUUAGAUACCCCUGUAGUC
rnacentral:rRNA from 1 species